rnacentral:rRNA from 1 species
UACGGAGGGGGUUAGCGUUGUUCGGAAUGACUGGGCGUAAAGCGCGCGUAGGCGGGCAUUUAAGUCGGGGGUGAAAUCCCGGGGCUCAACCCCGGAAUGGCCUUCGAUACUGGGUGCCUAGAGUUCGAGAGAGGUGAGUGGAAUUCCGAGUGUAGAGGUGAAAAUUCGUAGAUAUUCGGAGGAACACCAGUGGCGAAGGCGGCUCACUGGCUCGACACUGACGCUGAGGUGCGAAAGCGUGGGGAGCAAACAGG